GGCAGGAAGCUGACCCGUGGGUGACUCGAGUCCUGGGCGCCUGCCGGGCCUUCCGAGUGGCGGAGGGAGAGCUGUGAGGAGCUUUCCGAGUGACUCGGUAAGCUUCUCGCUUUCCCCACGCUUUCUGGUGGCAGGGUUUUCUGGCGGGCUUACCCACCUCAAGUGGACUCACAUGAUCCCAGGAUUUUAAUUCUAAAAUGACUUGGUCUUAUUCAGAAAAGGGAUGGUUAGAUUGGCCGAGGUAGGCGUCAAAGGCUGAGAACGUGGAAGGAGAACUGUGCUGCUCUGUAUCAGUAGAUAACUUUUUGCUGGGACUGGAUUCGGCGCUGCAAACAUUAACUUACCUCGAGGAGUUCAUGGUUUUUGUGGAAUACGAUAUCUUGCCCAUGUCCCAGUUUUCCUCCUCUUCUGUGGUGUUUGAUCCCUGGCCUCGCUCAGUGGUUAAGGAUCCAGCAUUGCCAUGAGCUGUGGUGUAGGUUGAAGACUCAGCUUGGAUCCUGUGUGGCUGUGGCUGUGGUGUAGGCCAGCAGCUGUAGCUCCAUUUGGACCUCUAGCCUGGGAACCUCCAUGUGCUGUGGGUGUAUCACAAUAAGUAAUUUUUUGCCUGGUUUAUGUCCACAAACCAGCAGCAUUGGCAUUACUGGGUGUUAGUAAUGCAGAGUCUGCCUUAAUCAUAAUUUAGACUUUAAUAAGAUCAUCUUCGGUGAUUUACAUGAACAUUAAAGCUUGAAAAGAAUUGAUGUAGAAUAUUCUGAAAGACCUGCCAGAAGAGAAGAAAAAUUUUUAUAGCUAGAAGAUUAGCGACAGUUUAAUAAAGGUAGUAUGUUGUUAAAUUUUGAAGGAUAAAUAAUGUUUUGUACAUGUAGGAUGGAGGGUGUACCUUCAUGUGCAAGGGAAAUGUGGCUCAGCAGUUAACGAACCUGACUAGCGUCCAUGAGAACUCUGGUUCAAUCCCUGGCCUCAUUCAUUGGGUUAAGGAUCCGGUGUUGCCCUGAGCUGUGGUGUAGGUUGCAGACAUGGCUCAGAUCAUGCGUUGCUGUGGCUGUGGCAUAGGCUGGCGGCCACAGAUUCCAUUGGAUCCUACCCUGGGAGCCUCCAUAUGCCU
rnacentral:lncRNA from 1 species